rnacentral:misc_RNA from 1 species
GCAUUAUGUUUACCAGUGGUCCGAGAAAGGUGUGAGAGGAAACACAAGAUGAUUUUGUAGUUUAUUCUUUCUCUCCCUUUGUGUACAUAUCUCUCUUCUGUGGAUAUGGUAUGAUUGGCGGGUAGAGAUACACACACGGUGAGGGACGGAUGAUGGUGCUAGCUGGUGAGGAGUAUAACGUCGUUACCUGCCAUCUUCACACGCUGGUGCAUGAGUGAUUUAGAGGAUGGGCCAGAAUAUGUGUUGCCCCAAGAAGGGGCCGCCACCCCCGAAUCACCCUGGGCCGUUUGACCACAUAGGUAAAGCGGAUGGCAACGCCUCCAUGACACCACCACACGGUGGUGGAGGAAACCCUCGCUAUUAUCCAGACCCGUCCAGAGGCGGCAGACCUGCUUAUAACUCUCAACAACAUGGAGUCGAUGUUAUCCGGUCAAAUUCAGGACAAGGAUUGCCAGCCCAUGGUUGGGUUCAGCAGCACCAUGCAAGCCACAUGCGGAUGCGAAAGGAGUCGGUUAGGUGUUCGCAACGAUGGACACCCAGAUCCAACACUCCAGAACCAGUCACACCAUCAACGCCAUCGCGAGGCCGGGUCGUGGUGGCCAUGUACUCAUUCCAGGGUCGCAGCAAUGGCGAACUCACCUUUGAGAAGGGAGAUAGGAUGGAGAUUCUCAAUGAUGCUGAUGCUGACUGGUGGUUAGCACGACAUAUGACACAUGGCAUUGACGGCUAUAUUCCAAAGAACUAUGUUGCAUCCACAUCUUCGCUUGAGUGCCAAGACUGGUACUUUGGCAAAAUAGCCAGGAAAGAAGCAGAAAAAUUACUAAUGACACGGGGGAACUUAAGAGGCACUUUUCUCAUCCGUAUGUCGGAACAAUCUAGUCAUGGAUAUUCCCUAAGUAUAAGGGAUUGGGACCAACAAAAGGGAGAACAUGUUAAGCACUACAGAAUCAAGGUCACUGACAAUGGAGGCUUCUUCAUCACCUCAUCACAGGCUUUCCGGACACUCAAUGAUCUGGUGGAUGCCUACAAAAGAAACAACUAUGGGCUAGCAUGUCUCUUGCAAUACCCAUGUCCACGUCCACAACCCCAGAAAUGGGAUCUGUCACGAGAGACCAAAGAUCAAUGGGAGAUUGACCGUAAUACUCUUUCCAUGAACAAGAAGUUAGGACAAGGUUCCUUUGGUGAAGUGUGGUAUGGUAUGUGGAACAACUCUACAGAAGUUGCCAUCAAGACCCUAAAACAAGGAGCAAUGAGUCCUUCUGCCUUCUUAGAAGAAGCCAGAAUCAUGAAAAAAUUACGGCAUCGUAAUAUUCUUGUACUUUAUGCUGUUUGUACGAAAGAAGAACCUAUACUAAUAGUCACUGAGUAUAUGUGUAAUGGUGCACUGCUAGAUUUGCUCAGGAAUGAGGGAGAGCGCACCCUCAAACUCAAUGACUUAAUAUAUGUGGCAACACAGGUUGCUGCAGGUAUGGCUUACCUAGAGAGCAAACAGUUGUUACAUCGAGACCUUGCUGCCCGUAAUGUAUUAGUAGGUGAAUCUUUGACAUGUAAAGUGGCAGACUUUGGCUUAGCCCGAAUUGUGGAAGGAGAAGACUACUGCCCAAGCACAUGUAAUAAAUUCCCUGUCAAAUGGACAGCACCUGAAGCCAUGCUGUACAACCGCUUUACUAUCAAGUCUGAUGUCUGGUCAUUUGGUAUUCUACUAAUGGAAGUGAUUACCUAUGGUGCUAACCCAUACCCAGGAAUGAAUAACCGAGAGGUCAUAGAGAAAGUCCAGAUGGGCUACCGAAUGGCCAAGCCUCCACGAGCUCCCGAUGAGUUAUACGAAGUGAUGCUACAUUGCUGGGAUAAGUAUCCUGAUCAACGACCUACCUUUGACUACUUGCAUCAUUUCUUCGAUGACUACCAGGUCUCCUCCGAAAUACCCUAUCGCGACAUCCACGACUAAUAACAACAUGACCCUGCCUGACCUCCACCCUCUAAUUCAGACCCUCCCAGGCCAGGACAACCUGGGUAAAAAACAGUCAGGAUGAGCAAUCGAGAGGUAACUGAAGUAGUUCCGAGCGGGUAUCGCAUGAGUAAACCAGUCUCCAAAUACUGCCCUGACCAGCUCUAUGAGCUCAUGUGUCAGUGCUGGAAACUGGACCCCAUAGAAAGACCAACAUUUGUUCACUUGCACGACUUCCUCUGGAACUUCGACAUAAGCAUAGAACGAGCAUAUGAGCCAGCUGCGGCAGCCUUCUAGUGCUUGUCUGAUUAUCUGGGGAGUACUCACUUGCAUGGCUCUAGACUAAAAUUUAAUAUAUACUUUUCGAAGGUCAUAUAUUUUUGGAUUAAUUUGAUCAUGAUUGGGGGAAGGGGAGUUAACUGAGCUGUAAUCCUGUUCACUGCAAAGGGCAUUUUAUAGCAUUUUGUUCAAAGAUAUUAGUAAGUGUUCCUUCAACAGAAAUGCAAAUGUUUGAGAGUAUGUUAAUACAAAAUGCCUUAUAAUGCCUUCUUUUUAUAAUUGUAGACUCAAAGUUAAAUACAGUUUUGCGUGGAAAAUUAAUUCUUUGCUAAGCAUUCCAUGUUAGUUUAAGAAUCAAACUGUAUAGUUUGUUUAUUGUAAUAUAAAGUCAGUUCUUUAUUUAUGC